AGAGUUUGAUCAUGGCUCAGAUUGAACGCUGGCGGAAUGCUUUACACAUGCAAGUCGAGCGGCAGCGCGGGGGCAACCCUGGCGGCGAGCGGCGAACGGGUGAGUAAUACAUCGGAACGUACCCUAGAGUGGGGGAUAACGUAGCGAAAGUUACGCUAAUACCGCAUACGAUCUACGGAUGAAAGUGGGGGAUCGCAAGACCUCAUGCUCGUGGAGCGGCCGAUAUCUGAUUAGCUAGUUGGUAGGGUAAAAGCCCACCAAGGCAUCGAUCAGUAGCUGGUCUGAGAGGACGACCAGCCACACUGGAACUGAGACACGGUCCAGACUCCUACGGGAGGCAGCAGUGGGGAAUUUUGGACAAUGGGCGAAAGCCUGAUCCAGCAAUGCCGCGUGAGUGAAGAAGGCCUUCGGGUUGUAAAGCUCUUUUGUCAGGGAAGAAACGGUGAGAGCUAAUAUCUCUUGCUAAUGACGGUACCUGAAGAAUAAGCACCGGCUAACUACGUGCCAGCAGCCGCGGUAAUACGUAGGGUGCAAGCGUUAAUCGGAAUUACUGGGCGUAAAGCGUGCGCAGGCGGUUUUGUAAGUCUGAUGUGAAAUCCCCGGGCUCAACCUGGGAAUUGCAUUGGAGACUGCAAGGCUAGAAUCUGGCAGAGGGGGGUAGAAUUCCACGUGUAGCAGUGAAAUGCGUAGAUAUGUGGAGGAACACCGAUGGCGAAGGCAGCCCCCUGGGUCAAGAUUGACGCUCAUGCACGAAAGCGUGGGGAGCAAACAGGAUUAGAUACCCUGGUAGUCCACGCCCUAAACGAUGUCUACUAGUUGUCGGGUCUUAAUUGACUUGGUAACGCAGCUAACGCGUGAAGUAGACCGCCUGGGGAGUACGGUCGCAAGAUUAAAACUCAAAGGAAUUGACGG
rnacentral:rRNA from 1 species